rnacentral:rRNA from 1 species
AUUGAACGCUGGCGGCAGGCCUAACACAUGCAAGUCGAGCGAGCGGCGGACGGGUGAGAAAUGUCUGGGAAACUGCCUGAUGGAGGGGGAUAACUACUGGAAACGGUAGCUAAUACCGCAUACCAUCAGAUGUGCCCAGAUGGGAUUAGCUAGUAGGUGGGGUAACGGCUCACCUAGGCGACGAGCCCUAGCGGGUCUGAGAGGAUGACCAGCCACACGGGAACUGAGACACGGGCAAGACUCCUACGGGAGGCAGCAGUGGGGAAUAUUGCACAAUGGGCGCAAGCCUGAUGCAGCCAUGCCGCGUGUGUGAAGAAGGCCUUCGGGUUGUAAAGCACUUUCAGCGGGGAGGCGUUACCCGCAGAAGAAGCACCGGCUAACUCCGUGCCAGCCGCCGCGGUAAUUC